AUUGAACGCUGGCGGCAGGCCUAACACAUGCAAGUCGAGCGAGCGGCGGACGGGUGAGUAAUGUCUGGGAAACUGCCUGAUGGAGGGGGAUAACUACUGGAAACGGUAGCUAAUACCGCAUACCAUCAGAUGUGCCCAGAUGGGAUUAGCUAGUAGGUGGGGUAACGGCUCACCUAGGCGACGAUCCCUAGCUGGUCUGAGAGGAUGACCAGUCAGACGGGAACAGAGACACGGUCCAGACGCCUACGGGAGGCAGCAGUGGGGAAUAUUGCACAAUGGGCGCAAGCCUGAUAGAGCCAUGCCGCGUGUAUGAAGAAGGUCGUCGGGUUGUAAAGUACUUUCAGCGGGGAGGCGUUACCCGCAGAAGAAGCACCGGCUAACUCCGUGCCAGCAGCCGCGGUAAUAC
rnacentral:rRNA from 1 species